UGUUGGAGAUUUGACCCACUCGUGGGGUUU
rnacentral:piRNA from 1 species